GGGGGCGAACUGGGUUCGACGGGGAGUUUGAGUCCUGGGUUGCGUGCCGAGGUCCCACUGGCUCGUAAAACAAGUGGGAAUGUAACAACUGCCGACUAUCAGCCGGCACUGGCUGCAGCCUAAUGCAGUCCGUCACCAACGCCUGCGCCUGCCGGGGGGUUGAGUGACGCAGUCACGGUGGGCUAGCGGGGCGCAUGCCCGGGGCGCUUCGCGAAACAAACGGGCUGGCCGGUCGCCGAUCCCGCUCACCGGAGCGGCGGCAGGCGAGAUCAAACGGUGAGAUACGCACGUAGAUACUCUCGAUGAUGCUCUUCCGGACGCGGGUUCGAUUCCCGCCGCCUCCACAU
rnacentral:tmRNA from 1 species